CCCUCCCACCCUCUCCCCCGUCACCCCGUCCCCUUGGGUAGCGCCCCAGCUGGGGGCCCACACUCCUGGCUUCCGGCAGCACUGGCCCCAAGCCGGAAGCAGAACAGAUGACUUUGGAAGACGCCUGCCUUCAACCUGGCUCCCCGUGCCUCCCGCUGUCCUGCCUGAUUUCCAGGAUCUCUGCCCCUGCUCCUCGGGACAGAGACUGUGAGGCCGGCAGUGCCCUCCGAGGUCUCCUCUUCUUCCCCAACGUCCACAUUCUGCAGAUGGGGAAACUGAGGCCCACAAGGGGUCUCGCCUCUCUGAACCUCAGUGUCCCCCCCCCCACACGUGGAGAUAGUAGAAGUGUCCCCCCCCCAUAGUGGUGCUGGGAGGCUAAAAUAGGUCCUGGCGGUGGCCAAGGCUCACAGCCUUUUGCAGACGAGACUCAGGUUAAGGCACACGCUUGCCCAAGGGCACAUACUGGGCACCAGGAACAGGGCCUGAACCCUGAGCUGAAGCGGCCGGAAGGGCGCAGGGAGUGGAAGAAACAAACGUGCCGCCACUCACCGUGAGCACUGCCACCACCUGGGGCUCUGAGACGGCUGGCAAGGAGGCACCUUGGAGCAAGGAGUGCCUCUCUCGGUCUCUGUGUCUUCAUCUAUGAAAUGGGACUGCUGUGGAUCGGUGUCCACGGCAGCCCGAGCCACGCUCUCCCCCAAAGGCAAAGCACCCAAGUGUCCAUCAACAGUUGAAUGGAUACACAAAUGUGAUCUCCCCAACAGCGGAAUAUAUGCAGCCAGAGAAAGGCGUGAAGCACUCCCACAAAGUACAACAUGGAUGAACCUUGAAGACAUGACGCUGAGGGAAAAAAGCCAGGCACAAAAGGCCACGUGUUGUAUGAUCCCUUUUAAGUGAAAGGUCCAGAAGGGGCAAAUCUGUUUAUAGAGAAGGAAUCCCUGAUUCCGACUGGGAUCCCUACGGUUCUGGGGCAUUCAAUCCCACACCUGGAACCUGGAGUAAAGCUAAUUACAGGACUCCGUCCAAGCUAAUUAGAACAUUCCAUCCCUGGCCGGGGUCAGGUUUGUCUACUUGCAGUCGCUCUUCUGAGCCUGCGCGUGGGGCACGUAUCCCUGGCAACUGCCAGCACCCACCCCAGGGCCAGGAGGAACGCCUCCCCAGGAUAAGUCUCCACCGCAGAAGGAAGAGCAGAGAGACAGCGGGACCUCAGAGACCUCCCCGAGCCCGGAGCUAGCGCUGCCUGCAGCAACACUCUUUGGCAAUUUUCUUUUUUAAUUUUCAGAUACCUGAGCCAAUGAAUUCCCUUUCUUGUUACUUGAAAGUAACACAUCAGACACAGUAGCUCCACCGGCCUCGCUGAUAUGGAUAAAAUACCUGUGACACCCAGCUACGGUUGCGUUAGAGUUUUAGCAGUUAUGUUUCCUUGUUGCGUUAUCUCCUGGCGCUUCUCCCCCAACUCCAGACCCCCGGUUCCUCCCAUGUGCAAGAAGGAGGCCGGAUUAAGCCUUCCUCUCCAGCAAGCUGCUCAGGGAGGCUCACCAGGGCCCC